CUGCAGCCCCACCCCCUGUGUUGCCUUUAAAAACCCUUCCCUGAAAGCCAAUGGGGAGGUCAGGACUUUUGAGCAUGCAGUACUCGUUGUAUUAUCCCUGUUUGGUGCCUGCAAUAAACACUGUAUUUUCCUUCUCCACAACCUGGUGUCAGCAAAUUGGCUUUGUUGUGGAGCAGGGUCCCCAGCAAUCGACAUGGCUUUUGAUGCCCGACCUCAGUAUGAUCACAGCUGACAAUCCACGUUCACCCGAAACAGAUAAUCCUCCUUCUGAGGUUAAAGAAUCAGAAGGCCAUCUCCCCCUGGGCUGCCUCCUUAUCCGGACACUACAAGACUUACUCAGAUCCUAACUUUCAUUUUAUUACACUUUUUGGGAGUACCAGGUAUGAGUGGAGAGAACUGGGGUGCCGUGGUACUUAUUAUUGACUGCUCAAAGUUUGUUCCUUGCCUGGCUUUCAACCUUUGACCCAUUUGGCGGAUCUCCUUUCUGGGGUUUAUCUGAUUUCAGCUCUGUUCAUAAACUACCGGUUUCUCCGGAGUCUUGUAUUUCCCGCCUGCUGCGGCCAGCAUUUUACAGCGCUAGUCAGAUUUUGCCGUUUUUUCUUCACCCCGAGUCCCUGCCCCAUCCAUUCUGCCCUCCUGACUCUUAACCCUCCCACCCUCACCUUCAUGGUGCAUGGGCCUAUUAAAUGGUGUCCAGUCCAAUUUCUGGCACCCAAUAAAUCUAAAUUUUCAAGCUUGGGAAGCCAGGCUCACCCCCUGGCACCUAGAUAGAUGAGUUCUCCGUGAGAAACCUACUCUGGUCAUUACUCAACACUCCUGAAACCCCCGCACAAGAUUUCAGGCCGGAGAAAGGCAAGUCCUCCUUUCCUGCCUCACCCUCUGAAAAAGAAAAUCGCCCACAGCCCAGGGCCUUGUCUUCCUCUGUGUCUCCCGCCCCUCCAUAUGGAUGCUCAGGGCGGUUCCCGGCCUCCAGCUCCCAGCACCCAGCAGCUCCCGUGCCUUCCUGCCACCGCAGCGGUUUUGAAAUGAGACUUAACAUCCGGCACACGCGCCUGCCCUGCUCAGUUCGCCAGGGCUUCGAGCUGGAGAUGAACAAAGAGCCUCCGUGCGUCGUUUCAUUGUUUGCAACCAGCGCGGGCUUCUCUCCCCAGCCCGCCCCCUUUAGGGGGUACGGUUUCAACACCCGAGAUCUCCGCUCCAUCUGAUUGACAAAGACCUUGACAUUGUCUCUUGCGGGAGCAAGGGGGCUAUGGAGAUAGGGGACACUUGAAACCAGGAUAGCUUCCGGGAAAACGGGUGGGGAGGAGGAGCCAGGAGCCAGGGCUGCGGAAGGAGCAACAGGGGUUGUGGUCUGUGUUUCAUUCGAGACCUGGGGACGGUGAUCCGCUCCUGAAUUUGGGAACUAUUUGUAUUUACUUAUUGGUUAUUUUGACUUGUGAAAUUACCCCCUUGCAUUCCGCCAGCCGUCUGCCUCUGCACAAUAAAAAUUAAUUACAAUGAAUUAGAAGCUUUAUAAACCACCCUUAACAGUGCCCUGGUGCAGAGACAUCCCGUCCUCUGGCCUCUGCUGGUCCACGGCUCAAAAUCAGAUCAGGCAAUAGCAGUUCUAAAAGGCAAAAGUCUCUACCAUCGAGUACCUGCUUUUGGCUUCUGUGGAGUGAAUCUGGGAUCUGAUAGGGUGCUACGAUGGUUAGUGUUAUACGGCAGCUUGGCUGGGCUAGAGUAUCCAGUUAUUUAAUCAAGCACUGAUCCAGGUGUUGACCUGAUGGGUAUUUUGUAAAUGUGCUUAAUGCUACAGUUGAUUGACUGAUUACCCUGAGUAACUAGGGUGGGCUUCAUCCAAUCAGUGGAAGGUCUUGAGAAAAAAAAACAAACUGAGGUUUCCCAGAGGAGAAAGUAAUUCUGCCUCAAAACCACAGUAUCAACUUCUGUCUGAGUUUCCAGGCUAUUGGCCUGCCCUACACACUUCAGACUUCCCAGCCCUAUAAUUUUUUGAAAUAAAUUUCAUGUAUGUAUGUGAUCUAUACCUAUAUCUAUAUCAUCUAUAUCUCAAUCAAUGUGUUAUUGAUUCUGCUUCUCUGGAGAACCCUGAUGGACUCAAGGGUUUAGAAAUCUUAUGCUUAAUUUGAAUGGUUCAUUGUAUAUCUGGAAGGAUGUCUGCUCUUCAUUUCCUGAGCAGGAAGCCUUGUGCUGUGCACAUGGUAGGAGCUUAAUAAAUGUUCACUGAAGGGAUUGAAAAUCUAAGGAAAUCCCAUAAUGCUUUUCUCAGCUUCUGCCACCACAUGUCCAAGAGGAAACAUUUACUCCCUCUCAUCAGCCCCACUUCGGAGUCCAGGUCCUCUUGGGCCCUUUCGAUAACAUUGUCAAGUUCUGAUGCCGUCAUCACGCUCUGCUCUGCCUUUAACAUCUAUUGAUUGAACCAUAUCUUCCCUGCAAAGGAAUGAAGGCUUCACUGCAAAGUGUCCAGGCACAUGAC